rnacentral:misc_RNA from 1 species
CUGGAACUGUGUCUGCAAAGACACAACCCCAGAUACCCUUUGUGAACUUAUUUUAUAUCGUUGCCUCGGCGCUGAGCUGGGGGCUUCUUUCUAAGAAGCUCUCCCAUCCUCUCUCGGGAAGAUGGAGCAAGCCCGCCGGCGGCCCUCUUAAACUCUUGUUUUUAUUACGUAUCUCUUCUGAGUUAUUCAAAACAAAAUGAAUCA